rnacentral:rRNA from 1 species
AACAAACGCUGGCGGCGUGCCUAACGCAUGCAAGUCGUACGAGAAAGGGUCCUUCGGGGCCUGAGUAAAGUGGCGCACGGGUGAGUAACGCGUGGAUAAUCUGCCCUUCAGUUGGGAAUAACUCAUCGAAAGGUGGGCUAAUACCGAAUAAUGCUGUGAGACCUCGGUUGAUCAGCCAAAGAGAGCCUCUGCUCGCAAGCCCUCGCUGACGGAUGAGUCCGCGUACCAUUAGCUAGUUGGUAGGGUAAUGGCCUACCAAGGCGACGAUGGUCAGCUGGUCUGAGAGGAUGAUCAGCCACACUGGAACUGAGACACGGUCCAGACUCCUACGGGAGGCAGCAGUGAGGAAUCUUGCGCAAUGGGGGCAACCCUGACGCAGCAACGCCGCGUGAGUGAGGAAGGUCUUCGGAUCGUAAAGCUCUGUCGGAUGGAAAGAACCGCAUAGGGGUAAACAGCCCCUGUGUCUGACGGUACCAUCAAAGGAAGCACCGGCUAACUCCGUGCCAGCAGCCGCCGUAACAC